AAUCAACGCUGGCGGCGUGCCUCAGACAUGCAAGUCGAACGAUUAAAGCUCUCUUCGGAGAGUGCAUAGAGUGGCGCACGGGUGAGUAACACGUAAGUAAUCUACCCUCGAGUGGGGAAUAACGUCCGGAAACGGGCGCUAAUACCGCAUAAUGCAGCGGCAUCAUAAGAUGACAGUUGUUAAAGAUUUAUCGCUUGAGGAGGAGCUUGCGGCAGAUUAGCUAGUUGGUAAGGUAACGGCUUACCAAGGCUACGAUCUGUAACCGGUCUUAGAGGACGGUCGGUCACACUGACACUGAAUAACGGGUCAGACUCCUACGGGAGGCAGCAGUCGGGAAUUUUGGGCAAUGGGCGAAAGCCUGACCCAGCAACGCCGCGUGAAGGAUGAAGUAUUUCGGUAUGUAAACUUCGAAAGAAUAGGAAGAAUUAAUGACGGUACUAUUUAUAAGGUCCGGCUAACUACGUGCCAGCCGCCGCGGUAACAC
rnacentral:rRNA from 1 species